rnacentral:rRNA from 1 species
CAGCAGUAGGGAAUAUUGCUCAAUGGGGGAAACCCUGAAGCAGCAACGCCGCGUGGAGGAUGAAGGUUUUCGGAUUGUAAACUCCUUUUGUUAGAGAAGAUAAUGACGGUAUCUAACGAAUAAGCACCGGCUAACUCCGUGCCAGCAGCCGCGGUAAUACGGAGGGUGCAAGCGUUACUCGGAAUCACUGGGCGUAAAGAGCGCGUAGGCGGGAUAGCAAGUCAGAUGUGAAAUCCUAUGGCUUAACCAUAGAACUGCAUUUGAAACUGUUAUUCUAGAGUAUGGGAGAGGUAGGUGGAAUUCUUGGUGUAGGGGUAAAAUCCGUAGAGAUCAAGAGGAAUACUCAUUGCGAAGGCGACCUGCUAGAACAUAACUGACGCUGAUGCGCGAAAGCGUGGGGAGCAAACAGGAUUAGA